rnacentral:rRNA from 1 species
UACGGGGGGAGCAAGCGUUGUUCGGAUUUACUGGGCGUAAAGGGCGCGUAGGCGGUCGUGACAAGUCACUUGUGAAAUCUCCGGGCUUAACUCGGAACGGUCAAGUGAUACUGUCGGACUAGAGUACAGAAGGGGCAACGUGGAAUUCUCGGGUGUAGCGGUGAAAUGGCGUAGAUAUCGAGAGGAACACCUGCGGCGAAGGCGGGUUGCUGGGCUGAUACUGACGCUGGAGGCGACGGAAAGCCAGGGGAGCGAACGGG